GAAAGGCCGUGGAUCUUACGGCCGCGGCUGGGUGUGAUACCGAGACACCCCAAUUAGG
rnacentral:ncRNA from 1 species